rnacentral:rRNA from 1 species
GACGAACCGUGCGAACGUUGUUCGGAAUCACUGGGCUUAAAGGGCGCGUAGGCGGGCCCGCAAGUCAGGGGUGAAAUCCCACGGCUCAACCGUGGAAGUGCCUUUGAUACUGCGGGUCUGGAGGGAGGUAGGGGCGUGCGGAACUUCCGGUGGAGCGGUGAAAUGCGUAGAUAUCGGAAGGAACACCGGUGGCGAAAGCGGCGCGCUGGACCUCUACUGACGCUGAGGCGCGAAAGCCAGGGGAGCAAACGGG